UACGAGGGGAGCAAGCGUUGUUCGGAUUUACUGGGCGUAAAGGGCGCGUAGGCGGCUUAACAAGUCACUUGUGAAAUCUCCGGGCUUAACUCGGAACGGUCAAGUGAUACUGUCGGACUAGAGUACAGAAGGGGCAACUGGAAUUCUCGGUGUAGCGGUGAAAUGCGUAGAUAUCGAGAGGAACACCUGCGGCGAAGGCGGGUUGCUGGGCUGAUACUGACGCUGAGGCGCGAAAGCCAGGGGAGCGAACGGG
rnacentral:rRNA from 1 species